CCGGCCAGUGAGUGGGAUGGAGCGCGGCCGGCGACCGACCCCGGCCCGUCUCGGGCCCGCCGCCCGCCCACGACUCUGCCGCCGGGCCCCGGGCGGCGGCCGGAGCCCCGAGUGCCGGCUCCCCUCCCCCGCGGCCCCACACUGACCUCUGACCCCAGCACUGGACUUGACUGCCACCAAAGCCCCCAGCCCUACACUGACUUGCCUACCCAGCCCAGCCAGGCCCAGCCAGACCCCGUGGCCUCCUGAAUGCCUUGAAGGUGCAGUUGGCUCUGUCACCUGUCCCCUCCCUGCCUCGGCCCUAACCAGCUGCCCGCUUAUGAUGACGGGUGGUGGAUGAGGGUGCCAGCCGCUGGCCCCACCCGGUGCCCCCCCACCCCUGUGCCAUGGCCGGCUGGGGUUCCUGGGGAUGGGAUUUGCUGCCUGUCACAAAUCACAUUGCCAGGGAUUUCCAACCGACCCUGAGCCCUGCCUCUGGGGCUUCCACCACCGCCACCACCGCUGAGGACACUGCCCGGGGAUGGGGGUGGGGGUGGGUGGCACAAGAGGCCCCAGCUGUCUGCGUCCGGCCUGGGGAGCAGGGCUUAGCUGCUUGUGAGCAGAGUCCACACCAAGUCGUGUUCACAGUGGCUAAGUUCCGCCCCCCGGGACCCCGCCUCCUCCGGCUCUGCGGCUGUGCCUGCCUGUCCCACUGUGGGGGCCUCCCUGGGCUCUGCCUCCCGUGCCUACUGAGCUGAAACACAGUUGAUUUGUGCAGACUGGCUCAGUUCAGCAGGAACAGGAGUCGAGCCCCCUCGGAGCCUGUGGCACCUGCCUUCCUUGGGUGGGCUGAUGCCUGGGGGGUGGGGGUGGGGGGAAGACCCAGACCUGUGUCUGGAGGAGGGACUUGGGGAGGGAUGUAGCCUGGAAUGGGGUAGGUGGACCCAGCUGUCUGCUGCAGGCCCCCUCCCCCAACAACGUACUUGGGGAGGGCCUCCCCCUGCACAGUCCUACCUGGAGCUGGGCUGUACUCCUGGGGAGAACGGGCAGGUGGGUGGUUGCCCCUCCAUGAAAAAGGGCAAAGCUGUGUCUGCAGCCCCCACAACCCCCCACAACCCUCCCAGCCUGGAGCCUUUCUCUCCUAAGCCUGGUGGGGCAUGGGCCAGGCCUGUGCCUUCCCAGCAGCCAGUUACUCAAGAGGAAGCUGCCUUGGGUCCCCAGACCGUUAAAUGCCAACUCCAGCUUCCGGAACCAGGCUGGCCUGACCUGAGUGGGCCUGGCCCCUUCUCCCUGAGCCCUGCAGCUUCCUAACUUGGGGGGAGGAGCCCUGACACCCUCCUGGCACAUGGGGCAGGGAGCAAGGUCCCUGUGAGUCCAGAAAGGACACAAACGGGCCUUUUCAGUCCUCAGGUGGUGCCAGGCUGUCCAAAAGUUGAGACUGUCCAGUAUCAGAUGGGAUGGGGCUCUUUUUGGAGUGAGACUGGGGAAACAGAGAGCAGCCCCCUAGGGCGUCAGAGCUGGCCCAGCAUUCCUGUCCCACCUGGGGUAGGGGCGGACAUAAGCUUGGGGCAGGGGUCUGUGUUGUGUGUGGCUCCUGUUGUCCAAUUAAAAUAAAAGCUGCCCCCUGCCUCAUUCCUGAA